GCAGGAUGGGACCUGGCUUACAGCACUCUCUGCUCAGCAGAAGGUCAUCCCUUGCCUUCAGCCUGGAAAACUCUCUUAUUGCAGCAAAAUCCAUAUAGAAUUCAUGCCCUUUGGCCGAGCUCUGCAGCAUCCCAUUGCACACCAACUUCCCAAGAUGAAGACCUCUGUGCUGUAACCACAGUGGGGCUUGCUUGUAAUGACCCCCACAUUUGACACUUUCUUUUAAACAGCACAUUUUCAGCUUGUGUGAAUUAAUUUCCUGUUGGGUUCUUUGCGAUCCCACCUCUCUCCAUGUCAGCCGAGCAGUUCCUGGGUGCAGUGGAUUCACUUUUGCAUUUGAUGGUUUUUGUCAUAAACCAAAGCCACUCAGAAUCAACCUAAUGAGUCUGUUCUACUCUUAGUGCCAUAGUUUAAAACCCAGUGCAAAAUGUUCUGAUGGUGAUGCUAAGAACACUAAAAGCUGAUUUGAAAAUCAUCCUUUUUUUUUUUUUUUCUUAAAAUGCAUGUAAAUGCAGAUCUUGACAUUUGAGCUGGUGGAACUUUCCCGUGAUACAUAAAAUUAGAUCACUGCAUUUGUUUAUGUUUGCUAUCUGCCAUUCAUGUUGUUUGCCUUGGUUAAGUUUCCAGUUUUCCUUUUAUACAGUCUCUGCAUACUGAUUAAACAG
rnacentral:lncRNA from 1 species